GUGGCAGUCUUUAAGGUUCCAGCACUGAGCAGUGUGUUGCAACUCAUGUGACUCCACACAGAUUGAGACUGGUUCCUGCCGACAGGGACUGCAAAGGCAUCGGUUAUCCUGUGCGAUGGCUCCAUACAUC